UACGUAGGGUGCAAGCGUUGUCCGGAAUUAUUGGGCGUAAAGAGCUCGUAGGCGGUCUGUCGCGUCGGAUGUGAAAAUCCAGGGCUCAACCCUGGACCUGCAUUCGAUACGGGCAGACUAGAGUUCGGUAGGGGAGACCGGAAUUCCUGGUGUAGCGGUGAAAUGCGCAGAUAUCAGGAGGAACACCGGUGGCGAAGGCGGGUCUCUGGGCCGAAACUGACGCUGAGGAGCGAAAGCGUGGGGAGCAAACAGG
rnacentral:rRNA from 1 species